CUCCGUAGGUGAACCUGCGGAGGGAUCAUUACACAAAUAUGAAGGCGGGCUGGAACCUCUCGGGGUUACAGCCUUGCUGAAUUAUUCACCCUUGUCUUUUGCGUACUUCUUGUUUCCUUGGUGGGUUCGCCCACCACUAGGACAAACAUAAACCUUUUGUAAUUGCAAUCAGCGUCAGUAACAAAUUAAUAAUUACAACUUUCAACAACGGAUCUCUUGGUUCUGGCAUCGAUGAAGAACGCAGCGAAAUGCGAUAAGUAGUGUGAAUUGCAGAAUUCAGUGAAUCAUCGAAUCUUUGAACGCACAUUGCGCCCUUUGGUAUUCCAAAGGGCAUGCCUGUUCGAGCGUCAUUUGUACCCUCAAGCUUUGCUUGGUGUUGGGCGUCUUGUCUCUAGCUUUGCUGGAGACUCGCCUUAAAGUAAUUGGCAGCCGGCCUACUGGUUUCGGAGCGCAGCACAAGUCGCACUCUCUAUCAGCAAAGGUCUAGCAUCCAUUAAGCCUUUUUUUCAACUUUUGACCUCGGAUCAGGUAGGGAUACCCGCUGAACUUAA
rnacentral:rRNA from 1 species